CUGUCUCCCUCUCAACUCUCUCUCUAUCUAUCGGCUCUAGCAUCUGUAAAUGAAUUCUUCAAGAAGCAACAUUUCUUCUCCAUGACCACGUUCCUGUAAAAUUCUCAGCCUCAGGUAUCUAACUAUUCUCUCCUUGCUCUGUAUUUUAAUUCUCUCGCUGCAGCUUUAUUGAAUAACUUGCUCAAAUCCAAACACAAUUAAAGUGUCAAAUAUACAUGUACAGAACUACAAAUGCCUAAUUUUUGUGCUAUAACUUCUUCAUCUGUUGACUGACAUGCUUUAAUAUGAUUGAUUUAAAUAUAACAAUUUAUUUGAAUUAAGAUAGAUUAAAUAGAAGUAUGAAUAUUUAAUUUUGUAGGAACGAUCCAUAAAAUUAAAAUGAAUAGAUUUUUCACCAAGCCGAAAAAUAAUACACCCAUAUUCUUAAAAUUCUGGAUAUUCCUCUGCGGUUGAGGCAGGAAUAGGCAACUUCCGAGCAGAGUCUGCGAAGUUCAAGCAAACACAGAACGGCCCGUUAAUGCAAUAGCCGCCACGUCAUGCGCUCUAGCCGCCAUUUCUGCAGAAGGGAAAGUGCCAAGCCAUAUUCUUGAUUUCUUGUUUGGUUCUC
rnacentral:lncRNA from 1 species